rnacentral:rRNA from 1 species
AUGAGCCAAAGCCUCGGCCACCACCGACUCUUGCUCGCUUUUCUGUCCGUGCUGCUUCUCACAGCCUCGGCGGUGGCCGACAGCACGUUGACGCAGCAGAGGGCCAUCGGCGGCGACCAGAGGCUGGCCUCGCCCGGCGGCGCCUUCCAGCUCGGCCUCUUCUCCCUCGCCAACAACACCAAGUGGUUUCUCGGCAUAUGGUUCACCGCCUCCCCGGACGCCGUCGUCUGGGUCGCCAACCGCGAUAGCCCGCUCGACGGCUCGUCCUCCGGCAUAGUCGCGCUCAGCGGGCGAGGGGCCCUCGUGCUCCUCGACGCCGCCAGCAACAACGAAACCAUCUGGUCGUCCAACUCCUCGGCCGCUGCGGUGGCGCGGCUCCAAGACGAUGGCAACCUGGUGCUCGCGGACGCGGCCGGCGCCGUCCAGUGGCAAAGCUUCGAUCACCCGACCGACACGUUCCUCUCCGGGUCGUGGGCCGGGCAGGACCUCCAGACAGGCGCCGUGUGGUCCGCCUCGUCGUGGCGCAGCGCCGACGACCCGUCGACCGGCGACUUCCGGUACGUGAUGGACACGCGGGGCUCGCCGGAGCUGCACGUCUGGAGGAAGGGGCGAAAGACGUACCGCACGGGCCCGUGGAACGGGGUGCGGUUCAGCGGCUGCCCGGGCAUGACCACCUUCGAGGACCUUGUCGAAUUCCAGUUCACCCACACCGGCGACGAGGUGUCGUACGUGUACCGUGACCGCGUCGGGUCGCCGGUGUCCCGCAUGGUCCUGACCGAGUCCGGCGAGGUGCAGCGCAUGGUCUGGAACCCUGCGACGCUCGCGUGGAGCGUUUUCUGGUCGGUGCCGAGGGACCAGUGCGACGUCUACGGCGUGUGCGGCCCGUUCGGCGUGUGCAACGCGGUCGGCGCCGUGGUGUGCGGAUGCAUCAGGGGGUUCCUGCCGAGGUCGCCGGCGGAGUGGCGCAUGCGGAACUCGUCCGGCGGGUGCGCCCGCAGCACGCCGCUUCAGUGCGGCGACGACGGUUUCUACGUUCUGCACGGUGUGAAGCUGCCGGAGACGCACAACAGCAGCGUGGACGCCGGCGCCUCGCUCGCGGAGUGCGGCCGGAGGUGCCUGUCCAACUGCUACUGCACGGCGUACGCCGCGUCGGACAUCCGUGGUGGCGGGACUGGGUGCAUACAGUGGUUCGGCGAGCUCAUGGACACGCGCUUAGGCGACGACGGCCAGGAUCUGUUCGUCAAGCUGGCAAUGUCUGAACUUCGCCUAGAGACAACCAAGACCAACAAGCUUGUCGUGGUCAUCGUCGCGGUGAUAACAACAUUUGCAUUGCUCCUGUUAUUACUUGGCCUCCUGAUCUGGAGAAAGAUCCGGCAGCGGAAUAAGCAAGUCACCGAGUUUGAUGACAUCGUGAGAGGCGAGUGUCCAGCAUACCAUCUCGAAACCCUUAAAGCCGCCACUGACGGAUUCUGCCCCAAAAAUGAAAUAGGAUGUGGUGGCUUCGGCACUGUCUACAAGGGUCAAAUGAUAGAUGGCCAGGAAAUUGCAGUGAAGAAGCUGUCAGCAGGGAAUAGAGUGCAAGGUCUGAAGGAGUUCAAGAACGAGGUGGACUUGAUCGCCAAGCUACAACACCCGCAACCUCAUCCGAAGAGACGCGCCACCUUGAGCUGGAAGACUAGGAUGGACAUCAUCUUCGGCAUUGCCAGAGGGCUUCUCUACCUUCACCAGGACUCGAGGCACACGAUGAUCCACCGAGAUCUCAAGGCAGCCAACGUUCUCCUCAAUCGGGAGAUGGUAGCCAAGAUAUCGGAUUUCGGAAUCGCCAAGUUGUUCAGCAGCAUCGGCGACCAUCAGGUCACGGAAAGGAUUGUUGGGACAUACGGUUACAUGUCACCAGAGUACGCCAUGGACGGAAUGGUUUCGUUCAUGCAAGACGUGUACAGCUUCGGUGUGCUGUUGCUAGAGAUCAUCAGUGGCAGGAGGAACCAACGGAGUUUCAACCUCAUAGCUCAUGCAUGGAUGUUAUUUGAGGAAAACAAGAGCUUCGAGCUCCUUGACCCAGCCAUGUGCAAUGGCUGCAGCCUGACGGAGCUAGAGCAGGUCGCGACGUGCAUCCAAGUAGGGCUACUAUGUGUUCAGGAGAGCCCGAGCCAACGUCCGCAAAUGGCUGCCGUAAUACCCAUGAUGUCGCACCAACAGGCGUUGGAACGACCACUUCGGCCGGUGGUAUGCAUGCCCGUGAGCACUCUUGCGGACCUUCUCAACGUGCAGGAGGACACAUCCGGCAAAGUUGAGCUGACCAUCACAAACCUUGAAGGACGAUAG